GGAGUCCUGAAAUGCUUGGGAUGCAACAAUCACCAUAUAUAAAGAUAUAAGGGAGUCCUCUGCCCCCCCCUCGCGGGGAACCAUAGCAACUAUCGACAUUGCGCAGGCGCCCUCUGACUGAGUGAAGGCGGGCGGACGCCGAUUGGUCGCUCUAGGGAGGGCGGCGAUUGGCAGGAGGACUCUUUGGGGCGGUCCCUCCAAAGGAAUAGGCGGAACUUCCGGAGAAAAAACGGCGUGAAGCCUCCACUUCCAAACGGAGAACGAGGGAGCUGCCUGAAUCGGUGACAGAGGAGCGCUGAUGAUGGAGGAGGACGGAGGAGCCCGGCGGAGGAAGCAAGGAAGGAAGCGCUGCCUGAGAACAGGAGGUCCCGACGCGGCUUUCCCGGGAGACGCCGUGGAAAGGCCGGGAGGCUCCGGGGCUGCAGGAGGGAUGAGCCCAGGGAGGGGCCGGGAAAGGCGGCUGCCUGGAGGGCGGUGCAAGGAGGAAGAAACAGGCGAAGACACCGAGGACGGUCUCUGGAGGGGCGAAGGGUCCUUCGGAAGAUCCCAGAAUCCCAAAGGGUCCAGGAGGAGAAAAGAAAUACAAAUGCCCGGAAUGUGAAAAAUCCUUCAAAAAUAGGCAUCUUCAGAGCCAUCUAAGGAUCCACACAGGAGAGAAACCUCACAAGUGCUUGGAGUGUGGAAGGAGCUUCAGUCAUUGGGAAAUCUUUAUAGACAUGAAAGGAUCCCUUCGGGAGAGAACCCAAGAAAGGCUUGGAGGGUGGAGGGAUCCAGGAGGAAGGAAAGAAGUAUCACUGCCCGGAAUGUGAAAAAUCCUUCAAAAGAAAUAGAUAUUUUCAAAGGCAUCUAAGCAGCCACUCAGUUUGGAAACCCACAUCAAUGCCUUGAAUGUGGAAAGAACUUCUGUCAGAGAGCAGUUCUUGAUCAACAUCAAAGGAUCCACACAGGAGAGAAACCUUAUACUUGUCUGGCAUGUGUUUAAAAGCUUCCGUCAUAGCAGCACCUUUUAUGCACAUCAAAGACUCCAUUUACAAAACCAUACCAAUGCAGGGAAUGUAAGAAGCACUUCAAAACCAUUCAAAUCCUUGAAAAACAUCAAAGGAUUCACAAGCCAAAUAUAUGCAUGGAGUGUGGAAAGAGCUUCAGUCAAAGGGGAAAUCUUGAAGAACAUCAAAGAAUGCACACAGGAGAAAACCCUACAAAUGCCUGCAAUGUGGAAAGAGCUUUACUUAUGCUUCAAACCUCCGUCGACAUGAAAGAAUCCACACAGGAGAAAAACCUUACAAAUGCCUGGAAUGUGGAAAGAGCUCACUAAUGCUUCAAGCCUCUGUCGACAUCAAAGAAUCCACACAGGAGAAAAACCACAUAAAUGUCUGCAUUGUGGGAAGAGCUUCAAUAGGAGAGGAGAUCUGUAUAGACAUCAAAGAAUCCACUCAGGAGAAAAACCAUAUCAAUGUUGGAGUGUGGAAAGAGCUUUACUGACCAUUCAAACCUCCGUCGACAUCAAAUAAUUCACACAGGAGAAAAACCACAUAAUGCCCCGAAUGUGGAAAGUGUUUCAAUACUAGAGGAACUCUGUAUAGACAUCAAAUUAUUCACACAGGAGAAAAACCUUCAGUCCCAGAGUGUAUCUCAGGAAUUGAAUUGAAUUGUAUAUUUAAUUUGGCCAAGUGUGAAUAGGCACCAAGGAAUUUGUCUUGCCUGCACAAGCUCUCAGUGUACAUACAAAGCAACAGACUAAUGAUAAUCAUGAUAAUUAUAAUAAUUCCAAUAUGAGGGUUGAGCAAAGAAAAUAUUAAGGGUGAAUAACUGCCAAAUAGAGGACUUUCUAGACUGAAUAAUAAUAAUAAUAAUACAAUUCUUUAGUUGUAUAUCAUAGAUGUUUGAACUGACUGAAAAUGUAUCUUUUCAGAGUAGAUUUUUGUGACUCAUGAUGUCAUUUACCAUGUGAACAUUCUUUUAAUGCAAGGCUUAUUUCUGUGAUUAUCCUUAAUAGUAUGGGAUGUUACUGUCCAUGUCUCUGAUGUACUGUAACUGAGCAGGAUAAUUUCUUCCAGGGUGGAUUUUAUUUAAAUCAAGUCUUUAAAUCAUAUAUAAAUCAUUAGUAAAAGGCUUUGAUUUAAAUACACUUGAUUUAUAUCAUAAUUUUUAAGGAGCAUUGUCUGGGAGAUCAGACAAUGAGAAGUUGGCAUGAAUUGAUACCAGUCUUUCCCCCCCCCCAAUGUUUUAGGUUUUAAUGUGUUUUAUGGUUUUAUAAGGCUUUUUGGGAGCUGCACAGCCUGUUGAGCAGGUGUUUCCCAAUUUUCAAGAUAGUUAAAAGUCCCCCGUUACUAUGCUUUCUCUUAAAUCAGCUAACCCUCCAACCAGACAGAGGGUGUCUUCGCAAUGCCCAGUCCCUUCCUUGACCCAUGCGGUGAGAUAGGGUGCUCCCUUUGAUCUUGGAGUCUGGUCUUUCUCCCCCUGCAUUUCAGUCAAGGGGAGGUUGAGGGGGCCUUCUUGGGCUGCAAUUUUUCCCACAUUCAGGGUACCUCCCUAGGCAAGGUGGGGGAGGGGAUGUCUGGAGGGUCACCUAGGCAGGCAAGAGCUGCAGAUGACAGGGUCAAUAAUUCCUUUGUAGAACUGAAUCAGGAGCUCUUUGGGCCGUUUGAGCUUGGUGCAGAAAGAACAUUCUUGUGCUGUUGAUGAUGUUUUUGAUGUUAGGUGUCCAUUUUUAAGUCUAAGAUAGGAUAGAACCUAGAAAUUUGAAGGUCUAUACUGUUGAUACUAUGUUGUCUAGAAUUGUAAGAGGUGGUAGUAUGUGAGGGUUUCCUCCUAAAAUCUCCACCAUUUCUAUGGUUUGAGUGUAUUUAGUUCAAGAUUGUUCUGAUGGACCUCAAGCCUAGUUGUUCAACCUCCCAACUGUAUACAGAUUCAUUGUUGUCUUGAAUGAGACCACUCGCUGUUGUCUCAUCUGCAGAUUUUAGUACUUUGACACAGUAUCUUUUGAAAUUUAGUCAUUGGUGUACAGAGAGAAGUGGAGAGGGCACACAACUCUGGGGUUCUCCCGUGCUAAUUGUACAGGUAUCUCUAGUCAGGAAUGAAGAAGCUUCUUGGAUGAGAAAGCUGCCUCUUGAAAAGCACCUUUGGGACAACCAUGACCUGGAUGGCGGAGAAUCUCCAUAGACAUUCAGGAUAUUCCCAGACAAGUGAGAAUAUACUGUGUUUGGAGCAGCUGGUAGAGUCUUUAUUGUUUCUUUCAUUUAAAUCUUAAAGAAUAAUUGUAUCAUUGUCUCUUCACUGCUUCUUCCUCCAUUUAAAUCUUAAGGAAAAAUUAUAUGCUUUUGUAAUCACCCCCUCCUCCCCCGGGAAUAUUUCAUCUAAUUCUGUUAUUCCUCUGUGAAGGCCAUAUUGUUCUAAAUCUUUUUUAUAUCUUGUCCUAAUUUGCAGAUAUGGCCACCAACCUAUCUCUAUUCCAUGGCUCUUUAAUUCUGGUCAGAUUUUAAUUUCCCUUCAUCAUCCAAUAAAUCUUUGUAUCUCACUACCUUAUUUAGGUCUAUACACUGGGAUAUAUCAUUGCCUCCAUAGCUGAUAGCCAGAGAGGGAUUUUCAUAUAAUGAUUUUUCUUAACACCACCCCCCCAGACCUAUAGUAGGGAAUCUCUUACUAAGUGUCUCUGGAUAUAUGAGUGUAUUUGUUUUUUUUCCCCUCCCAAAUAAAAGUAUGCCAGCCAAGUUGAA